rnacentral:tRNA from 1 species
AAACCUGUGAUCUAGCCUGGAAUAUAAUGACGGACUUUGGAUCCAUAUGACAGUGGUUCAAAUCCACUCAGAUCCG